CUGACAUUGGGCAUCCUGAAAUGGAGAGAGUGAAAUGAAGAAUUUGAACUUCCCCUAGGCCGGAAACACACACAAGUGCUCAAAAGUCUCACUGCUGAACUCUAACUUUCCAGCUCAAGUGGCUUUGGGUAAUAUAGUUCAUCCUAUGUCGUUGCCUAUUCAGCUAGACAUGAUGAGGUUCAAACUACCAUCACCAAACUGAUUGUGGAAACGAUAAUAUCAUCACCAUCAUCUACUGGUGAGACAUGAAUGGCUCUGUCAUUCUGUCCUACGGGCACUCACAAACGAAGCAGGAAUCAGACAUAAAUCCCUAGAGGUAAAAUGACAGGACAUUACAAGGCUCAGAGCUCAGAGCAUAAUUGUAAACCUGCAUGCUAAUAAGCCUGACUUUUAAAGAUACCAAU
rnacentral:lncRNA from 1 species